rnacentral:rRNA from 1 species
UACGUAGGGUGCGAGCGUUAAUCGGAAUUACUGGGCGUAAAGCGUGCGCAGGCGGUUUUGUAAGCCAGAUGUGAAAGCCCCGGGCUCAACCUGGGAAUGGCAUUUGGGACUGCAAGGCUUGAGUGCGGCAGAGGAGACUGGAAUUCCUGGUGUAGCAGUGAAAUGCGUAGAUAUCAGGAGGAAUACCGGUGGCGAAGGCGGCAUCCUGGACCGACAUUGACGCUGAUGAGCGAAAGCUAGGGGAGCAAACGGG